UACGAAGGGGGCUAGCGUUGCUCGGAAUCACUGGGCGUAAAGGGCGCGUAGGCGGCCAAGUAAGUUGGGGGUGAAAGCCCGAGGCUCAACCUCGGAACUGCCUUCGAUACUGCGGGUCUCGAGUCCGGGAGAGGUGAGUGGAAUUCCUAGUGUAGAGGUGAAAUUCGUAGAUAUUAGGAAGAACACCAGUGGCGAAGGCGGCUCACUGGCUCGGUACUGACGCUGAGGCGCGAAAGCGUGGGGAGCAAACAGG
rnacentral:rRNA from 1 species